CGGCCGCCGCCGCCUCGUCUUCCCCGAGGGCUCCGCGUCCGUCUCCGCAGCUCGGCCGGGAACCUGGGAACGUGGGAACUCGGACGCAGAAGGACGCGCCCGAGCCAGGACCCGCCGCGGGGUCCCUCUGGCGGGCCGUGGCCGGGGAGAGGACGCGGGCCCUGGCGGUCGAAGACGGACGCAGCGCCCGGAAAGGCGAGCCGGGUCUCCGGCUCCUGGCGCUUCCUGUGAGCUGGCUCGGCGGGGUGCGUCGCCGGGGAGGGAGGGACUGGCCGUGGGGCGAGCAGCCGGGUGGGGAGUGGCUUCUGGGGGCCUUCGCCAGCGGAGGGCCCGCGAGGCCGCCCUCGGAGCGCCGCCAGGUACGUGCGUUUUCCUUGUUUCCCGCGCUCCCAGAGCGCACUCUCGGUAGGGAACGAAUAAAAUCCCGGCUGGUGUGUAAGAGCCUUUCGCUGCAAACGUGUCUUUCUGCGGGAUUCGGGGGGCCGCCGAACGCGGGGUA
rnacentral:lncRNA from 1 species